UACGGGAGGCAGCAGUGGGGAAUAUUGCACAAUGGGCGCAAGCCUGAUGCAGCCAUGCCGCGUGUAUGAAAAAGGCCUUCGGGUUGUAAAGUACUUUUCAGUCGUGAGGAAGGUGUUAAGGUUAAUAACCUUAGCAAUUGACGUUAGCGACAGAAGAAGCACCGGCUAACUCCGUGCCAGCAGCCGCGGUAAUACGGAGGGUGCGAGCGUUAAUCGGAAUUACUGGGCGUAAAGGGCACGCAGGCGGUUAAUUAAGUUGGAUGUGAAAUCCCCGGGCUUAACCUGGGAAUGGCAUUCAAGACUGGUUAGCUAGAGUCUUGUAGAGGGGGUAGAAUUCCAUGUGUAGCGGUGAAAUGCGUAGAGAUGUGGAGGAAUACCGGUGGCGAAGGCGGCCCCUGGACAAAGACUGACGCUCAUGUGCGAAAGCGUGGGGAGCAAACAGGGAUUAGAUACC
rnacentral:rRNA from 1 species